UUGCUUGGGUCUUGUGAACAAGGCUGCAGUGAACAGGGUGAGGCGGUGGGAGGGGUUUGAGGGGGUGGAGGGGUGCAUAUAUCUUUUCCAGUUUGUGUUUUCAUUUCCUUCAGAUAAAUGCCCAGAAGUGGAAUUGCUGGAUCCAGGGUAGUUCUAUUUUCAGCUUUUGGAGGAAGCUCCACUGUCUCCACAGGGGCCGCACAGCCUGCCUCCCAGGCGUCUACCACGCUCCCACCCGCUGCACGGAGGGGGGGCGCUCUGGGCAGCAGGGCCUCGGUGCCGUCAUUUGUCAAACCACCAGCACUCAGAGAUCCAAGGAGGCCCUGGAACUGUGAAACUUUGCCUCCCGAGUGCAUCCUCAGAAGCACAAAGAAUUUAUGUGGGGCUAGGGCAUUCCUAAGGCAUUUCUCUAUGCCCUGCAAAGUCAUUUUUUAUAGCGAUCUGAGGCUCUUAAAAUCCCCGCGCCCUGGUAUGAUCUAGAGGUCAGACCAUAUUAAGUUCCUCUAACUUCUUCCCCUGCACUGCCUUAGGAAACGCCUCCUUGUCUGCACGGCCCUGUUCUAGGCUGCAGGGGGUCCUGCUCAACCCCAAGUCAUCAAGUCUCCACCAGGGUCCUGGGGGGCCCUGGAUAGUCAUGACUUUUGUUUAGCAGGAGAACGAAAAUAAUUUCCAUCUCCAGGAAAUGUCAAAACCAAGCAGAACGUGCGCGGCGCUCCGCCUCCCGGCCCCCGGGCCGCCGGGGAGGACAGAGUGACCGCGGCAGGAGGACUCCUCGCGGGAACGACAGCCAGCGGCGCUGCCGGCCUUAUCGGAGCGGGAGGCCUCGCUGGAGUCGAUUAAUUGCCGAAUGCUGUUGGGGUUGGCAGAUACAGGAAGCAGUUUACAUGGCCACACCGUGCCCCGGCUAACAGUCUCUCUGAAAUGGUAUUAUUGUAGCGGGCUAAUUGUGAUUAGGGACGGUUCCCCGAGGAAGACCAGGCCUUUGAUGACUGAGUCACUUCCUCCCCACUCGCUUGAGUGCGAUAGUGCGGCUCGCCCCACAGACACACACCCUUUGCUGCCCAGAGAGCCAGCGCCCCACAGCCAGCUUCCCCAGCAGGGGCACCGGAGCCCCGUCGGAGCAGGGCGCUCGGAGGAACGGGGGAGGAAGGGGGGGCAGGCAGAGGCCGCCCCUCCCCACGUUUCUUUUUUAGGUAAUGACCACAGGAACCCUUGCUGAUGAUCUCAAUUGUGUGUCCCCCACUCCUGCCUUGGAAACGGGAAGACCAGGCUUGAUGUUCACUGGCUUGUGUGACCUUGGGAAGUCCUCCUUUUGAGCCUCAGUUUCCCCAUUUGUAAAGUGGUGAUGAUUAGAGAAUCUACCCCAAAUGAUCAUUGUGAGGGUUAAAUGGGAUUACUUUAAUGUUUGUAAGCACCUAACAAAUACCAGCUGUCAUUAUUAUUGCUGUCGUUGUCGCUAAGAACGCCUCCCCUCUCCCUCGGCCCCCAAAGCAACAGGCCACUGAAGGCCGGACCCAGCGGCCCUCACGUGGACACGCAGCCCCCGCAGUGGGGGAGGCUGGGGAGGCCGGCCGGCCAGGGGGCCAGAGCCCCCCCUCCGAGCUGCCCGCGCCCCUCCCGCCGGGCGCCCCGCGCACGUGGCCGCAGCGCCCGCGCCCCGGAGCCCGGCUCCUGGGUCCACGCCAGCAGCUUCCUCGCCGUGCGCUCUUAGGACGGUCUCUUCUCCUCUCAGAGCUCAGUUUGUUCAUCUGGGCAAUGGGGAUGAAAAUACCUCUCUCGGAGCGCUGCGGUCAGGAUGCGAUUUGGGGCGCAUGCAGAACACUGCGCGUGGUCCCUGACGGAGAUGCCCCAUCAGUGGCAGCCGCAGUCGGCGAGCCGCGAAGGCCGAGGAGAGCGGCCAGCACCAGCCGCAGGCUCUGGGCUCCGGAAAGGACGGCGCUCCCACGGCCCCAGAAACGCUGCUGGGACCCGAGGUGCUGAGCGGCUGCCAGCCAGACCCAGGGCCCCAGACCGGGCCGCGUCCAGCGAGCCCCGAAGGGCGGACACCACGGCUGUGGUGUCCACCACUGCGUGCUCAGUCCCGGUGCGUUUGUUUCUCGUGGCUGCUGUAACAAAGCACCACGAGGUUAAUAGCUGAAAACAACACCAGUGCGUUAUCUUUCCCUUCUGGAGGUCAGAAGCCUGAAAUGGCUGCACUGCUUCCAGAGGCUCUGGAGGGAGCCUAGAGGCUGCCUGAAUUCCCUGGCGGGCGCUCCCCUCCCUCCAUCUUUAAAGCCGGCAGCGCAGCAUCUUCAGACUUGGCUCCGACUCUCACUAGAAGGGCUUGUGAUUGCGCUGGGCCCACCUGGGUCGCCCAGAAUACCCUCCCCAUCUCCAGGUCAGCUAAUUAGAACCUUAAUUCCAUCUGUAAACUUGAUUCCCCCUCGCUGUAUGACGUAACAUAGCCCCGGGUUCUGGGGAUGAGAAUCUGGACGUUUGGAGGGAGCCAUUAUUUGGCCACCACACCUAGUAUGGAGGAAAGUGGAUAAAACACCAGAAAAUGACACAGCCUGGCACCUGCUUUGGAGGAGCUUCCUGUAAGGAAGACCAGAGGACCUCACAGUGCCCCCAGGACAGACUGUCCACCCGUGAGGACAGUCAUGAGCACAUGACGAGUGACGACAGCAGAGGAGAGUAGCAACGGGCUCAGGAAGCCUUGGAGGCGAAGGCCCUCUGGUCACGGCUCAGUACAUCCUAAUCUUCAUGCAACAAAUCUUUUGAGCAUCAAUUAGGUGCUGAGUGCCACAGAGGUCAGGACUUUAGAGAAGCCAUGGUGGGGUGGCUUGUCAUUGCUUCUGGAUGUCUGGGAUCUGGGAAGACUUGAAUGGUAGGAGCUGGAGUCAUCUGGAGUCUUCUUGUUUCACAUCCCUGGCACAGGGUGCGCCCCAGCUGAUGAAAAUCUCCACCCUUGAGAGCCCUCAAGAUAUCAGGCUCUCAGGGCGUCGCGGGAGAAAAGGUUUAGUUUGAUGUGGUUGAGUCAGUCAUCGCUGCAUCUUCAUACUCUCGGCCCCAAACCACCUCCUGCUCAUCACCGGCACUUUGCAUUUCUCUGGAUUAUCUUUCGUCCGUUCACCACUGACCCUCACAGCCUCAGCCGGGGCUGAAGCAGGGGCAGAAGGAGGGGCCACUCCCUUCCUGGUUGAACUGCUGACUGCCUUGGCCACGCCUCUCCAAACCCAGCUCCUUCAGGAACCGGAGAAAGAGAAAGCAAGCGCAAGUGGGGCUGCAAAGACUGUUGUUACAUGAUUUCCCUUAAGCCCCAGAAAUAGAAAGCCAGACUUCCGACGCACAGAGCCCCUGUGCAAACCACUAGACCGCACUGCCAGAUAAGAAAAAUGUUAGAUUGUGUCAUACUUCCUUCAUCAGCUCCAGUUCCCCAAAUUUGAGAGAACCUCGCCAUGAUCCUAAGAUUUAGAGAGGCAAGAAGAGGGAGGACAAACGGAUCAGACUUCUCUUUUUUCUGGUAUAAAUUUGUUUUCAGCCACAGAAGUAAAGGAGAGAAAAGAUGACGAAAGAUUAGUCACCCGCUAACUUUUUUGUUUGCAUGUGCAAGAGAAAGAAACGGACUGGACAUCAGCAGGCAGUGAGAAAGAGAAUCUGCCAGCUGAAAGCGUCCUUGGCCUUUUGGAUUCACAUGUGUUCGUUUAUCCUCAUGACAGAGGAUGACACACCUCCUUGCAGAACGAGGAGGCUGGACCAGGUUCAGAUUCCCCUAGGUUCCAACUCGUAUGCUCAGUACCACCUCCACCACCGAAAUAAUUUUACUUCCCUCUCCCGGAGCAGCCUCAGUGGACGUCCACGUUGUCAGCGGCCGCAGGAAGAGUGAUGGCCGGGGUACUGACACGCUCCUAAUUGGAAGGUAGGAGGUGCCGCAGAGAUCAGCUAUGAAAGACAUCUUUGGACCCUGGUGGGCUGCUAAUGCUUGGAAGAGACUCGGGGGUGAGGCCUGGCGAGCUGUCACCCUGGCAUAGGGCCUCGCCUAGCAGACAGACAAUGCAGGCAGGAGGAGGCAGCCAGCAGACAAGGCCCGCAUGGGAAGCCACCAUUUUAGGGGAUGGCAACAAUAGUGGGCAGACCAGGACUUCAGGAGUCAGGGAGCUCACUAGCGGGUAGGGUACAAGGAAGGGAGAGCCUGGAGCCAGGAUCAGAGAGGCAGGGCCAGCAAAUAGCUGAUAAGAGCCUUGUGGUGAAGACAAGGAAAAGGAGGGACAGGAGUCUCUUACAUCCAGCUAAUAAAGAACAAACUACUUGUGACUUCUGUAGGCCUACAACUGCUCCAGGCCCUGAGGGGUUCAAAAGAAGAACCAAGCUAGAAUUGAACAUCUGAUUAAGAGAUAAGCAAAUCCACACACUGAAAUUAUUGCUGAGUAAGACAGUGCUGCCUGUGUUAUGCAAUACGGCACUUGUGCAAGCUCUCUGCUUGCAUUAUCUCGCUUAAUCCACUCAACAACCCUACAGGGUGGGUGCCGUUGUCCCUGUUUUAGAAAUGAGGGUGCUGAGAGCCGCAGACCUCGUCUAAGUUUGUCUGGCUAAUAAGCAGCUGAAGUAGGAUUCAAAUCCAGGUCUGUGUGAGCCUCUGGACUUUCCGGUACAGCCUGCAGCAUCCCUUUAGUAGAGUAAUAUAGUGCUGCACUGAGCAAGAAGGAAAAGUAAAUACUUCCUGGCUGAUGAUGCAGCGAGCAGUUCAAAGGGAGGAGCCGUGGGAGGGAGAGGGAGCUGUGAGUGAACAGGGUCGGGGAUGGCUUCUGGGAAUUGGAGGGACUGUCAGAGCUGGUUCGAAGCUGUGGCUCAUGCGUCUUCUCCACUCUCUGAGCCAGAGAAUGAGGGUCUGAGUUAGGCUUUGGGCUAUCCAGCGCUUGCUGUCUGGCGCAGCACCGAGGACCUCCCCUGAAGACUGAGGGCUUCCACACUUGUGAGAGCUCCCUGCAAGUGCGAAGGCUCCGCUCAUCAGAGAGACCCCCGGGCCACCGGCAGGCCCAGCCCCCUGAACCAGGGGUUUGCAGCACCCUCAGAGAACGGCAACUGGCCUUGGGCAGAAGAAAGAAGGAGAUGCCCUCGCAGCUCCAGGCCGUGGAAUGGGCUCUGCUGUCCUCAAGGCCUGCAGGUGACACCAGGCGCUAGGGCGCCAGGGCCUCCCAAGAAGGAAAAGGUGCGAAGCAGGGUAAUUAGCUAAGAAGGUGUCCAGGGGCAGGCAGCCUGGACCUGGUGGGGGAGCCACCAGGACUGCAUCAUGAGUGGGCGGGAUUAACUCUCCAGUGAACGGAGUGUUGCCAGGGGAUGCUUUUCUUCUUCUUCAAGGAGCCAGAAGAGGUGGUAAUUAAAUUUGUCUUUUAAAAUAAAACUAUCCUGAAGGGGGUGAGAGCCUUCAAGCUUCCCCCAUGGUGUUCUGGACACACUGGCGUCCCUCUCAGAGGGAGGAAGAGCUUCUAUUCACAGGCCGUGAGCUGGAGAGGCCUCAUGGUGAGUCAGGCUCUCUGUGUGAGCAGGGUGGUUGCUGAUGUCUUCAGGGACUGCUAAUUUACCCAUCUGAUUUGUUCCUCCACCCCAGCCACAAAGGGAGACCACUCAGUUACUUUGCUCCAAAAGAGAGGCUGUUGUUUACCGUGAUCUCCCCAGCAACUGUGUGUGUGUGUGUGUGUGUGUGUGUGUGUUUGCACAACAACCUUAUACAAUGAAGAGGUGGGGCCCACUGCCCUUGCUAGAGUGUUUAAACACAUUCCAAUACUGAAUUUGGGGCAAGGACUGUAAUGGAGUGCCUCUGAGAGGCCUUGGCCCUCAAGGAGGCCAUAACUUGAAGGAUGUCUUUAAAAAACCAGGGUGCGUCAGGAGAGUGGUCACACGUUCCUCCUCCCACAGGCGAGCGAUCAUUCGAGAGUCCCCACUUUGUGCCAGUGCCUAUGCUAGGGUUUUAUAUAUCUUAUCUUAUUGGCUUCUCACAAGUGCCCUUCGAAGCAGAUAUCAUGCUUUCAUUGGCCCAGGUUCCUCUUAGAGAAAACCCAUCCUUCCUUAGGUCCCGCCUGAAGAGGUCCAUGUUCGUACAGCUUUUCCUGACUUUAUCAGCACAGUUACUUACAUUCUCCUUUGUACUCCAAGAAAAUCACAGACUUUGGGCAGAUGGCAGCCACGGUUUCCUCAUCUGUAAGGUAGGGGUAACCCUGGGUCAUCGUGAGGAAUAAACGAAAUAAAUCAUGGAAGUGCUUCAACAGGGGCUGGCAAUUAGCCCUUGUUAGCCAUCAUUGUUGUUAAUGCUAGUAAUAAUAAUACCACAUAGAAUUACUUGCCACUAGUUGUGAGCUCCUUGAGUAUGGUGAUAGGGCCAACUUUCUUCAUGUUUCAUACCCAGAGGCGGGGGGGUUUGGCUCAUGGUAGGCACACAUUUUCUAGCUGGCGAGUGAAUGAAUAAGAGUGAAGUGUUUGCUCCUGUUCUUGAGCUCCUGAGGGUAGGCCCUUGUCCGACCCGUUUCUCUGUUGCUGACGUCCCCACUUCAUCUGGCACAGCUAAGAGUUGAGUGACCCUUUUGAACAGAUGAACAGGACCAAGAGAUGCUGCUCCUCAGCCCAUGCCUGGCCCGGGGAUCUGGCUGCACGCCCAUCUCCAUGCUCUGCUCAGGCUGGUGGUCAGCUCCUGCUCCAUGAAUUCAGUAAGUGUGUCCUGGACACUUCACCCCUAGAUGGUGAGCUCCUCGAGAGGGGACCGGGUCUUGUUUAUUUUUAAAUCCUUAGUGUCUAGCACAGCGCCUGGCGCAAAAGAAAUGCUCAAGUGUCUGCUGUGGACUGCCCAACUGGACUCAAAGGAGAGCAGAGUUCAGAAUGAAUUUGUCAUCUUUCCCCAUCAUCACCCCAAACUGGCCUUCUCCAGAAGUUCCCCAUUUCUGUUUACUAAGGACCCAUCUUCUCAGCGACAAAGGUCAAAAAUUCCUCAGGAGUAUGUUAGCAUGGAGGACAAGAGCAGUCUUUGUGGUCAGACUUUUCUGGGCUUGAACCCUGGCUUUGGCAACUGCUGACCGUCCUGUCUGGACAAGUUGCUGACCCCUUCUGAGCCUCAGUUUCCCCUUUCAUCGAAUCAGAAUAAUAACGCACACUAUUCACCCAUUCAGUAAGGACUCUUUGGGCCCCCACUACACGGCAGGGCCUGGAGACUCACAGAUGUGAGCAACACAAACAUUGCUCUCGCUUGAACAGCUGACUCCACACGAGCGAGGGAGAGAGAGACACUGAGCAAGCGAUCCAGGGAACACACAGGAUGUGGAGGGUGACGUGCUGUGGAGAAAAGUGACACUGAGGGAGGGAAGGUCAGGGUGGUCAGUGCCUUACUCAGGUGCUGAAGAAAGACCUUUCUAAUAAGGAGGACCAACGUCUGGGGAAGAAUGUUCCAGAGAGAGGAAAAGAGCAGAGACCUGAAGCUAGAGUAUGGAGGAUAACAAGGGGGCUGAGGGCCAAAGCGGGGGAGAGAGGAGAGGACCGAGAGAUACCAGGGCCAGACAUGGGGCCGUGAAGACCUUGGCUCUAACUCUGGGCACGGAGGAGCGCGUUGAGGAAUCCACGCAGGCGAGUGAGAUGACCGGACGUAGGCAUAAGAGAACCCCUCUGGCAGCUGCGUGGAGAAUGCCUCUGCGGACGGGGCGGAGGCUGGAGGCCAGCGCUCGUGCCUGCAGACUGACCGUGUGGAUGAGUGAGAUAACACGGACGCGUGGAUGGGGUGGAGGCAGAAGGCCAGCGCUGCUGCCUGCAGACUGACCGUGCGGAUGAGUGGGUGGCCCCACCCCAUGGGGGCUGCAGUAGGUGGUUCUGGGGCUGCCUCGGCUGUCCUCCCUUGCUUCCUGUGGACAGGGCUUGCCCAGUCACGCAGGGACUGUCCUGCCCUUGCCGGCCAGUCAUUCCCUCCGCCCCACACCGCUUUUCCUCAACCCUUCACUGAUGCCGAAGCUCCUUGAACAGCAGCCCCACCUCCUGCCUCUCCCGCCCCAAUCCAGCCCAAACACAACUCCAGUCACGUCCUUCCCUGCUCACGACUCUUCAAAGGACUAACGGCUCCUCGAAUCCAUAUUCUUGGAGGCUGCCACUCAAGGCCUCCCCAAUAUGAUGCUGCAUUUACUUUUUCCACCAUGUACUGCUCUCCCAGAAUUACUGAACACUUGUGGAGAAAGAGUUGGGUGCAACGUGUCACUCUCCGAGUGUCAGUUUCAAUGUCCCAAAAGGUCCCUGCAGCAGAAUGACUGAGGAGCAUAGCCACUCUCCAAAUGACAAAUUGAUUACCACGGGCCCUGACCCCAGAUUCCCUGGGCCACCCAGGAUGCCCCAACCGCGGAGGACCUGUACACUGUCCAUUGCUGGCUCCCACUCCCACCGUGCUACCACGGACCACACAAUAAUGGGUCUUCUCUGAAAGGCACUGGUGUUUCCUUUCACUGCUCUUAUCGCCCUUCAUACCUGCCCCUGUGGACCCCACCCACAAUGAAAUGCCCUCAUUUUGUCUUUCCUGGCUCUGACAGGAGAUCCAGGUUCCAAGGCGUGGAUUCCCACACCUGACUGCCUGCUACAAGCUGGCCCGAUCCUCCAUUCCUGUCUCCUUUUUCAAUCUGAGCUCAGUCCACAAAGGAUUGGUGCCUGGACCGAAGGUAGAUAAUAAGCUGGGACCCGCUGGCCAGAGACAGAACAGCAAAAUCCCUGGCUUUACAUUUGCACCAGCCUGGAGAGCAGACACCACCAUCCCUUAAUAUGCUCCCCAUGGGAAAACUUACCAUCGAUUUAAAGGCUUGUUCAUUUGGGGCCCUUCUCACACGGAAGUAUUGGUACUUGGACUGGCACCUUCCACCAUGUGGGUCUUGCAGAAAAGCAAAAGAGAUCCUGGUCCCCAACACCAAUAUUCUAAAAUAGCAUGCCUGAGGCUAUCUAUUGCUCCCACAUGAUGCUGAAGCAAGGACAGCCACUCACAGCUGUGGGAUCCACGUGCCUCCUGGCACUAUGAGCUGGCAUCCCUGAAUGCUCUUGUGGAGCCUAAACCAUGUAGUGUGGAACAUUUAGGUCCUCACCAGCUGGCUAUGCCUGAUUGGCUGAUGGUGUUUUCUGGGGCAUAUUCUCCUACUCAGUGCCAGGACACCUGGGCAAUAUGGCACCCGCUGCGUCCUCCCUAUCUGGAGUGUAUGACUCUUCUUCCAUAACACGAUAGGCCAGGCAGAUGACGUUAUCCUAAGCAGCCAUCAGGAAAACCAGAAAGGAAUGUGGUCCUGCACUCUCAGUGCCCCCUGCAGACAACCUUUGCCAUCGUUAUGAUGCCCAGUGGGCUGCCCACUCAAGCAAGCCUCCUACCUUGCGCAUCUUUGUGACAGCCUUCCCAAUAUCAGCCUAUGAUUCCAUGACCUGGGCCUGGCUCAAGAGUGGUACUGGCCCAGGGAGCCAACCACCACAUUGCACAUUGGGACCACAGCCCAGACAACGACUGCGUCUCAGAGGAUGACGACCCAGUUACCCACAUUAUCUACCAAGGUGCCCCCUGCCAGAGCACAGGCAUCUUCCCCUCAGGGGAUCCCCGCUCAGUACAUACUAUAAUUGAAAGAGGUGCACACCAGACAAGCCUCCAAAGUUACAACUCUCUCCUCCCCAUCCUCCUCACUGGGCACAAUAAACCACAUUCCCACUGUGGCUAAAACUUCCUCUCUCAGACCUCCCAAUGCAAACCUACUCCUUAAGGCUAUCCCCAGGCUGACCUGUAUGAACACACGGUCAAGGCUACAUCCCAAUGGCUGGACCUCACACAAUGUUGGGUGCACUUUGCCCCCAUGAGCAAGCCACCCCCUUAGUCACCCCAUGCUGGAUGACACUAAGCUCAUGAAAAAGGCCCACAAAACCACCAAUACCAAUGCUACCUGUCUAGGCCACUAGGUCUUGCCCUGUCCCAUCCAGGACCUGACGGACAGGACAUUGAUUGAUGUUAUCCACUUGGUCCCCGGCCCAAGAGUCCAGAUCAUGCAUCUAUCCAAAUGCACAUGCCUGUGCCACUCCCUUAGAUGAACUCUUCCUGCUGGCCCAGCUUCCUGAAUUCACUGCACACUCCACUCACUCUGACAACCGCCUUAGCAUUUUCCCAGGUCCAAGUGAUGAGCCAUUUUCCUACCCAUUGCUCAACACGUAAGAGUGACAUUUGGGGCUGGAGGAGGGGACUAAGGGCUCACGAUAUGAUUACACAAGGAAAAUAGCAAAUGCAACAGAGGAAAUGUCCAUGGUUCUGUCCGAACCUCGUGACAUGGACAGCAGGUCAUAAACAGGGGCAGUACGUGAGGCUUUCACUAAGGGGCACAAAUCCCUGACUGUGCGGGGGCAGGUCACAGACUAGCUCCAGAGACCUGCUAGCUGCCCAGGAGUAUGUGCCCUCAAAGGAACUCCCUGCUACACGUGGAUAAAUAACACAGGCAAAGUGACCCAAAUAGCCUGACAGAGGAGCCACCACACCAAAACCAAACUUCACAUCAGCUACCCUGAACUCCCUAGGACCCGGGUGUCCCAGCAGUCGGGGGUCCUUGUCCCAGGGGCCCUUCUGCCAGCAAUUGGACUUCACAUGCUGAGCUGGCUGUGUGAAAUUGGGAGAGCCUACAGACAAGUAUACUAACAAGAGUCUUGGCCUGGUGAACUGAGUGGCAGUGGUGAAUUCUGGAAAAACUGAGUUGGGUGCAAAAAUCAGCUCUCAGCAAAAUGACAUUUGGCCAAACUUUUGACACCCUCCAGGCAAGAAACCAGCAGAAGCCCAGUGAGGGGGCUCACUUCUGCUACACUUAGUAGGUCACAUGCAAGGGAACCCACCCUGCCCCUUUUUGAUUGCCCCUCCCCAGCCUGACCCCCACUGGAACAGACCACCUGGAACUAAUCUGCGCCCCCACCGCCUCAUUUUUCAACAGGUGGGCUCCUGUCCUGUAUCUACGUCCCCAGGACCAGGCUCUCUGUCCCUGCAGAUGUCAGGGAGCCCCCUUAUUGGUGGGCCCCCCACCCAGAGACUCCCCUCACUUUGCCAAUACCUGAGUCAGUAAUAAAUC